GAUGAAGAACGCAGCGAAAUGCGAUACGUAAUGUGAAUUGCAGAUUUCAGUGAAUCAUCGAAUCUUUGAACGCACAUUUCGCCCGCCAGUAUUCUGGCGGGCAUGCCUGUUCGAGCGUCAUUUCAACCAUCAAGCCUUCGCUUGUGUUGGGGCCCCGCGGCUGCCGCGGUCCCCUAAAUCCAGUGGCGGGCUCGUCGUCGUACCGAGCGCAGUAGACAUCCUCGCUCCGGGAACCCGACGGGUGCCGGCCGUGAAACCCCCCACAUCAAGGUUGACCUCGGAUCAGGUAGGAAUACCCGCUGAACUUAAGCAUAUCAAUAAGCGGAGGA
rnacentral:misc_RNA from 1 species